AAUUAAAUAUUUCUUUUCCCCACGUUUUCCUCUUCUUCUCUUCUCCUCCCUUCUCCUUCUUCUCUUCUUCUUCCUCCUUCUCUUCCCCUCUUCUCCUGCUUCCAUUUUAAAUUUGGUCCGGCAUCAACUUGGUAUCAGAGCAAGGCUGGUUUUGCCCCUGCUGCCAAAGCCCCGAUCCAUCUCCCGGCUACUUCUUCCAAA
rnacentral:lncRNA from 1 species